ACCCGCUGUACUUAAGCAUAUCAAUAAGCGGAGGAAAAGAAACCAACGGGGAUUGCCUUCGUAACGGCGAGUGAAGCGGCAAAAGCUCAUAUUUGAAAUCAGCCAUAAGGCCGAGUUGUAAUUUGCAGAGGAUCCUAUGGAUUAUAUCUGGAUUGAAGUCCUUUGGAAAAAGGCGCCCAGGAAGGUGACAGCCCUGUACUUUCUAGCAUAUUUCUAUGUAUAGCUCCUUCAAAGAGUCGAGUUGUUUGGGAAUGCAGCUCUAAAUGGGAGGUAAAUUUCUUCCAAAGCUAAAUAUCAACUAGAGACCGAUAGCGCACAAGUAGAGUGAUCGAAAGAUGAAAAGCACUUUGAAAAGAGAGUUAAAAAGCACGUGAAAUUGUUGAAAGGGAAGCUUAUGUCAUCAGAAAUGGUAUUAAUGUUCAGCCUUUUGGUGUAUUCAUUGAUGUCAGGCUAGCAUCAAUCCGGAUAGUUGGAUAAAGGUUUUGAGAAUGAUCUCUUCGGAGUGUUUAGCUCGAUUCGGAAUGCAUUAACCCAGCUGAGGUCCGCUCUUAGGAUGUUGGAUCAUGGUGGGUGAGGCCCGCUGAANCACGGACGUCUGAAACACGGA
rnacentral:rRNA from 1 species